CAUGGAGCAGGGUGAAAUUUCCGGCUGGGUUUUCCGGCCGCCUGUCCGCCGGACAACC
rnacentral:ncRNA from 1 species